rnacentral:rRNA from 1 species
GAUGAACGCUGGCGGCGUGCCUAAUACAUGCAAGUCGAGCGAACGGACGAGAAGCUUGCUUCUCUGAUGUUAGCGGCGGACGGGUGAGUAACACGUGGAUAACCUACCUAUAAGACUGGGAUAACUUCGGGAAACCGGAGCUAAUACCGGAUAAUAUUUUGAACCGCAUGGUUCAAAAGUGAAAGACGGUCUUGCUGUCACUUAUAGAUGGAUCCGCGCUGCAUUAGCUAGUUGGUAAGGUAACGGCUUACCAAGGCAACGAUGCAUAGCCGACCUGAGAGGGUGAUCGGCCACACUGGAACUGAGACACGGUCCAGACUCCUACGGGAGGCAGCAGUAGGGAAUCUUCCGCAGUGGGCGGAAGCCUGACGGAGCAACGCCGCGUGAGUGAUGAAGGUCUUCGGAUCGUAAAACUCUGUUAUUAGGGAAGAACAUAUGUGUAAGUAACUGUGCACAUCUUGACGGUACCUAAUCAGAAAGCCACGGCUAACUACGUG